rnacentral:rRNA from 1 species
CUAACUACGGAUAACAACAGAUGAUGCCUAUCAACUGUUUUAAAAAGAUGGUUCUGCUAUCACUCUUGGAUGGACCUGCGGUGCAUUAGCUAGUUGGUAGGGUAACGGCCUACCAAGGCGAUGAUGCAUAGCCGAGUUGAGAGACUGAUCGGCCACAUUGGGACUGAGACACGGCCCAAACUCCUACGGGAGGCAGCAGUC